rnacentral:tRNA from 1 species
AUAAAAAAAUAAAUUUUUAAUUUUACAAUGAAAAAGUAAUGUUUUGUAUAAACUAUAUAAAUAAGAAAUA